GAUGAACGCUGGCGGCGUGCCUAAUACAUGCAAGUCGAGCGAACAGACGAGGAGCUUGCUCCUCUGACGUUAGCGGCGGACGGGUGAGUAACACGUGGAUAACCUACCUAUAAGACUGGGAUAACUUCGGGAAACCGGAGCUAAUACCGGAUAAUAUAUUGAACCGCAUGGUUCAAUAGUGAAAGACGGUUUUGAUGUCACUAAUAGAUGGAUCCGCGCCGCAUUAGCUAGUUGGUAAGGUAACGGCUUACCAAGGCAACGAUGCGUAGCCGACCUGAGAGGAUGAUCGGCCACACUGGAACUGAGACACGGUCCAGACUCCUACGGGAGGCAGCAGUAGGGAAUCUUCCGCAAUGGGCGAAAGCCUGACGGAGCAACGCCGCGUGAGUGAUGAAGGUCUUCGGAUCGUAAAACUCUGUUAUUAGGGAAGAACAAAUGUGUAAGUAACUAUGCACGUCUUGACGGUACCUAAUCAGAAAGCCACGGCUAACUACGUG
rnacentral:rRNA from 1 species